AUAAUAUAUAAAUUGAUGAUGUUGAUGGUCAUGGUGGUUCUUUAAUAAAUAAUUUGAAUGUCUCAGUAAUGGGCUGCAAUUUUAAAAGAAUAAGAUAAAUUAUACCCACAAACUCCCAAUCUUUCCUGAAACAUUGCAAUCUGAAACCCUAUUGUAGGAAGCAGAAGAUUCCAGGAGACAUUCUACAAAUGAAGGACUCUAAACCCUGUGGUUGGAUAAGGAAUUCUGGAAGGAAGAUAUCCUCACCCAAGGAGAGCAGGAUUCCAGGAAAAAGGCCUGGGCUGCGGCCACAGUGGGCGGGGCCCCCAGGCCGGGCCGCCUCUCCAGGACCCCCGGAAGGGGGCUCCUGGAGGCUCCAGGCGGCUCCUCCCCCGGCGCCGCCCUCCCUCCCGGAAGGCCUCGGGGCAGAGCGGUCCCACCUCCUCGCCCAGAACGGAGCCCGCGUUUCCGCAGAGCUGGAACUCCCGGCUCGGGGUCUCUUCCCUCCGCCGUCACUGAAGUGCCCCGGAGCCCGAGGGGAGGGCGGCCUCACUGAGGCUGCCGGCUCUGGAGGGGCCCCGGCGGCCGAAGCCGCGACAGUCCUGGGGACCGCGGGCCGGUUGUUUCAGCAAGUAACUUAAAGACAAAAUGGAAAAACAAGGAGGUUUGUGCCUGAGAUCAUGUUGAGGUGAAACCAGGGAUGGCCACCUUGUGCCAGAAACAGGAAAACAAAUGCUUCUUAUGGAAUCAGAGAAUGUGAGGGCUGGACAAUCCCAGAAAAUGAGAAACACCCAUCCCAUUUUCCAGAUGAGAAAACAGAGGCCCAGCAAGGUGAAAUCCCUCACCCAAGUUGCACCUGUCUCUCCUCCCCACUACAUGGUUCAUGAAAGCAGGACUCUUUCUGUCUUGAUCACUGCUGAACUCCAAACAGGGCCAGGCAUCUAGCAGCUGCUUCAAAGAUUUUGGUUGGGCUUCCCUGGUGGCGCAGUGGUUGAGAAUCUGCCUGCCAAUGCAGGGGACGCGGGUUCGAGCCCUGGUCUGGGAAGAUCCCACAUGCC